rnacentral:rRNA from 1 species
UACGUAGGUGACCAGCGUUGUCCGGAUUUACUGGGCGUAAAGAGCGCGCAGGCGGUCGUUCAAGUCGAGUGUGAAAGCCCCCGGCUCAACUGGGGAGGGUCAUUCGAUACUGAUCGACUUGAAGGCAGGAGAGGGAAGUGGAAUUCCCGGUGUAGUGGUGAAAUGCGUAGAUAUCGGGAGGAACACCGGUGGCGAAGGCGGGACUCUGGGCCGAUACUGACGCUGAGGAGCGAAAGCGUGGGGAGCAAACAGGG